AACGAACGCUGGCGGCAGGCUUAACACAUGCAAGUCGAGCGCCCCCGGCAAGGGGAGCGGCAGACGGGUGAGUAACGCGUGGGAAUCUACCCAUCUCUACGGAACAACUCCGGGAAACUGGAGCUAAUACCGUAUACGUCCUCCGGGAGAAAGAUUUAUCGGAGAUGGAUGAGCCCGCGUUGGAUUAGCUAGUUGGUGGG
rnacentral:rRNA from 1 species